AUGAUAUGUCAGCGGGGGUUUCUUCCAGGGCACUGUCUCCAUAACUGGCCAUUAUGCGCAUGGAUGCUUCUAUUGGCAGAUACCUUAUACCGGCAAGUUGCUCGUGUUGGACACGCUCGUGGAGUUUCUCUUCUCUCAGCCCCCCCCCACUCGAUCGUUAUCAGAGGAUCUUUGUGGAGGCAAGGGAAGGAAGGCUUGGGAUGA
rnacentral:rRNA from 1 species